rnacentral:snoRNA from 1 species
GCAUGCCUCUGAAUUGAGGUCAGCCUGGCCCCCUGGGCUUCUGGGGUGCUACCGGGCAGGCUAUAUCCCCAAACCAUUGCAUGGCUUUCCCUGUCCAUAGGUCCAGGCACAGACGUGAGUUAUGCAGUG